rnacentral:rRNA from 1 species
AGGACGAACGCUGGCGGCGUGCCUAACACAUGCAAGUCGAGCGGGGACAUGCGACGGAUAGGAAGAUUUCGGUUGGACUUGAAGAUGCAUUGUUCUAGCGGCGGACGGGUGAGUAACGCGUGAGCAACCUGUCCCUUACAGGGGAUAACACAGCGAAAGUUGUACUAAUACCGCAUAAGACCACGGGAGGACAUCCUUCAGGGGUCAAAGGAGGAAUCCGGUAAGGGGUGGGCUCGCGUCCGAUUAGAUAGUUGGUGAGGUAACGGCCCACCAAGUCGACGAUCGGUAGCCGACCUGAGAGGGUGAUCGGCCACAUUGGGACUGAGACACGGCCCAAACUCCUACGGGAGGCAGCAGUGGGGAAUAUUGGGCAAUGGGGGAAACCCUGACCCAGCAACGCCGCGUGAGGGAAGAAGGUUUUCGGAUCGUAAACCUCUGUCCUUGGUGAAGAGGAAGAGACGGUAGCCAAGGAGGAAGCCCCGGCUAACUACGUGCCAGCCGCAGC